UAGGGAAUCUUCGGCAAUGGACGGAAGUCUGACCGAGCAACGCCGCGUGAGUGAAGAAGGUUUUCGGAUCGUAAAGCUCUGUUGUUAGAGAAGAACGUUGGUAGGAGUGGAAAAUCUACCAAGUGACGGUAACUAACCAGAAAGGGACGGCUAACUACGUGCCAGCAGCCGCGGUAAUACGUAGGUCCCGAGCGUUGUCCGGAUUUAUUGGACGUAAAGCGAGCGCAGGCGGUUCUUUAAGUCUGAAGUUAAAGGCAGUGGCUUAACCAUUGUACGCUUUGGAAACUGGAGUACUUGAGUGCAGAAGGGGAGAGUGGAAUUCCAUGUGUAGCGGUGAAAUGCGUAGAUAUAUGGAGGAACACCGGUGGCGACAACUGCUCUGUGGUCUGUUACUGACGCUGUGGCUCGACAGCGUGGGGAGCAAACAGG
rnacentral:rRNA from 1 species